rnacentral:rRNA from 1 species
CGCAACCCCUAUUGUUAGUUGCCAUCAUUCAGUUGGGCACUCUAGCGAGACUGCCGGUAAUAAACCGGAGGAAGGUGGGGAUGACGUCAAAUCAUCAUGCCCCUUAUGACCUGGGCUACACACGUGCUACAAUGGUUGGUACAACGAGUUGCGAGUCGGUGACGGCGAGCUAAUCUCUUAAAGCCAAUCUCAGUUCGGAUUGUAGGCUGCAACUCGCCUACAUGAAGUCGGAAUCGCUAGUAAUCGCGGAUCAGCACGCCGCGGUGAAUACGUUCCCGGGCCCUU